GACGAACGCUGGCGGCGUGCCUAAUACAUGCAAGUUGAGCGCUGAAGGUUGGUACUUGUACCAACUGGAUGAGCAGCGAACGGGUGAGUAACGCGUGGGGAAUCUGCGUUUGAGCGGGGGACAACAUUUGGAAACGAAUGCUAAUACCGCAUAAAAACUUUAAACACAAGUUUUAAGUUUGAAAGAUGCAAUUGCAUCACUCAAAGAUGAUCCCGCGUUGUAUUAGCUAGUUGGUGAGGUAAAGGCUCACCAAGGCGAUGAUACAUAGCCGACCUGAGAGGGUGAUCGGCCACAUUGGGACUGAGACACGGCCCAAACUCCUACGGGAGGCAGCAGUAGGGAAUCUUCGGCAAUGGACGAAAGUCUGACCGAGCAACGCCGCGUGAGUGAAGAAGGUUUUCGGAUCGUAAAACUCUGUUGGUAGAGAAGGACGUUGGUGAGAGUGGAAAGCUCAUCAAGUGACGGUAACUACCCAGAAAGGGACGGCUAACUACGUG
rnacentral:rRNA from 1 species